AGAGUUUGAUCCUGGCGUCAGGAUGAACGCUGGCGGCGUGCCUAACACAUGCAAGUCGAACGGACCCAUGGAAAAGAUUAGCUUGCUAUGAUUUUCCGGAAGGUUAGUGGCGGACGGGUGAGUAACGCGUGGGUAACCUGCCUCAUACAGGGGGAUAGCAGUUGGAAACGACUGGUAAUACCGCAUAAGCGCACGGUACCGCAUGGUACAGUGUGAAAAACUCCGGUGGUAUGAGAUGGACCCGCGUCCGAUUAGCCAGUUGGCGGGGUAACGGCCCACCAAAGCGACGAUCGGUAGCCGGCCUGAGAGGGCGGACGGCCACAUUGGGACUGAGACACGGCCCAGACUCCUACGGGAGGCAGCAGUGGGGGAUAUUGCACAAUGGGGGAAACCCUGAUGCAGCGACGCCGCGUGGGUGAAGAAGUAUUUCGGUAUGUAAAGCCCUAUCAGCAGGGACGAUAAUGACGGUACCUGAGUAAGAAGCCCCGGCUAACUACGUGCC
rnacentral:rRNA from 1 species